UACAGAGGUCCCGAGCGUUGUUCGGAUUCAUUGGGCGUAAAGGGUGCGUAGGCGGCGGGGAAAGUCUGAUGUGAAAUCCUGGGGCUCAACCCUGGAACUGCAUUGGAUACUUCCUUGCUAGAGUACUGGAGAGGAAACUGGAAUUUACGGUGUAGCAGUGAAAUGCGUAGAGAUCGUAAGGAAGACCAGUGGCGAAGGCGAGUUUCUGGACAGUUACUGACGCUGAGGCACGAAGGCCAGGGGAG
rnacentral:rRNA from 1 species